CUUCGGGAUAAGGGGGACCUGAUGUGUGACGGGAUUUACUCCUUGAGCAUUGAGGGUCGCAGAGACCAGGCCCAAGCGACUGUUUACUAAAACACAGGUCCGUGCCAAGUUGAAAGACGAUGUAUACGGACUGACUCCUGCCCGGUGCUGGAAGGUCAAGGGGAAGUGUUAGGGCAACCGAAGCACUGAACUUAAGCCCCAGUAAACGGCGGUGGUAACUAUAACCAUCCUAAGGUAGCGAAAUUCCUUGUCGGGUAAGUUCCGACCUGCACGAAUGGAGUAACGAUUUGGGCGCUGUCUCCACCACGAACUCGGCGAAAUUGCACUAUGAGUAAAGAUGCUCAUUACGCGCAGCAGGACGGAAAGACCCCGGGACCUUUACUAUAGUUUGGUAUUGGUGAUCGGUACAGCUUGUGUAGGAUAGGUGGGAGACUUUGAAGCAGGGACGCCAGUCUUGUGGAGUCAACGUUGAAAUACCACUCUGGCUGUUCUGGUUAUCUAACCUAGGUCCAUUAUCUGGAUCAGGGACAGUGCCUGA
rnacentral:rRNA from 1 species